rnacentral:tRNA from 1 species
UCCCUGGUGGUCCAGGGGUUAAGACUCUGAGCUGCCACUGCAGGGAAUGCAGGUUUGAUCCCUGGUCAGGGAA